GGUUUGGAGAAAGACACAAAAUGUUUCAGAAAGAUGAAUAAAUAAACUUGUGGGAGUGUUACAUGAAUCACACAAAUGUGAACAAGCAAACAAGUACUAAAUCUACACAUCUUAAAGACAAAUAGUGUGUUUUGUUGCAUUAAUUAAAAGUAUCAGUAUCAGGUGAUUUUUCAGGUGACACGAUAACAAGUUGUCUAUGAAACAUUUUACCUGUCAAUAGUGGUAAUUUCUGG